AUGCCCUAGAAACCUAUUUAUCUUUUUUCUCCAUUUUUGGCUUUUUCUACCAUUUUUUUCAAUUUUUCCUAUUUCUUAUUCAUUCAUUUAUGUGUUACCAUUAAUUACACAUUAUUCUUUCUUAACCAUUUCUAAGAAACUGAAAAGCCACUCCACUUCAUACAAUCUCGUAGAAAUUCCCUCACUCUCUUCAUUGUCUAAUGUCUAAUAAAUCAUUCCAUUUUAACAUUUGUAACAGCAAAAAACGGAAACUUCAUUGUGCUAUUUAUUGGCUUUAACAAUUUGCCAUAUUCAUCAAAAUACAUAACUGUCUUCUUUCACUAUUUGUAUGAGCAUAAAGAACAAGGCUACAUGUAUUCUUUAGGCUUUACCCUCAUCUUGUGGCGGAAGGCAGAAAUAUGAAAGAGAGGGUUUUGGUCUUUUCUUGUUUUCUUAAUCAUCAAAGAAAAAAGUGUGGUGAUUCUCCAAACUUGUGGAUUUUGUUUAAAGAAAUCUUAAAGUUGUAUUUUUCUGUUUGUGUUUGCUAGGUUUCUUGACCCGGCAAGGUGAGAUAAAAUACAUGCAAAGCACAGGAUCUAUUGGUGGUACUUCUAUCGAAUUUGGAGUUAUAUUGCUGGAGAAAAGAAAUUUCAUUUAUAUAACAUUUUUAUAUCAAGUUUUGGUUGUUUUAUCUUCUCUUGCAGAGUUGUAGCUAAUAGAAAAUAUCGCAAUAAUUAUAAACGAUUAUCAGUUUUUCAUUUAUGCUAAUUGUUUGUAGCGCAGAUACAUGAUAAAUCUAUGAAGUUGUAUGCUCCAUGGUAUAUAGAGGACAUGAUUUUUCACUUUUAGUAUAUUUUUUUAAGGUGAUAGUCUCAUGUAGGAUUUAUACAGCAUCAAACAUCUAUGAACAAAUUGAUUUGUCUUAGGGAGUGGAGAAAGGAUUGGACAAAUAAAUAGUACUUACAGGAUGAUUGAGACUAAAUUCAAGUGAAGAUUCUCCUUACAUUUCUCUCCUGAUUAAAAUUUAUGGGUAUGUCCUUUUUUAAUUGAAUUGGUUUUUCUUACCAACUUAGUUGUGAUUACAAUUCCAUACACCCUGAUCUGUUUUUUAGAGCAAUCUAUAUUAAUUGCAAACAUGGCUAAAUUCAUGCCUUCAAAGAUAAGAAAACAAGUUAAAAAUGAAUGUCGUUCGAGUGCUGCUGCUGCUUCCGGUGUCCUGUGUCAGUGGUGGGCUGGUGGCUGUCGAUAGUCACAGUGGUGGUUCCGUGAGUAUCUCCGUGCAAUGUCCCCCUCUGUUUUGAGAGAUAGUGUGCAUGCUAGAUGCUAGAUGGCUUGGGACUAUAAGAAUCCUUGGAGAAUAAGACUCCAAGUACUCAGUUUGAAGAAUUAAUCAUACAAGCUUUUGCACCCCUUUUUUUUUUUUUUUUUAAUGUUUGUUUGUUGAUCUUUAUGUUGCCAAUCUAUAAAGUUUUGUAUCAUGUAAACUUUUCAUUUAGUAGGAUGAUUGUUUUUGUC